GACGAACGCUGGCGGCGUGCUUAACACAUGCAAGUCGAGCGGUAAGGCCUUUCGGGGUACACGAGCGGCGAACGGGUGAGUAACGCGUGGGUGACCUGCCUUUAGCUUCGGGAUAAGCCUGGGAAACUGGGUCUAAUACCGGAUAUGACCUCAUGUCGCAUGGUGUGGGGUGGAAAGUUUUUCGGCUAGAGAUGGGCCCGCGGCCUAUCAGCUUGUUGGUGGGGUGAUGGCCUACCAAGGCGACGACGGGUAGCCGGCCUGAGAGGGCGACCGGCCACACUGGGACUGAGAUACGGCCCAGACUCCUACGGGAGGCAGCAGUGGGGAAUAUUGCGCAAUGGGCGGAAGCCUGACGCAGCGACGCCGCGUGGGGAUGACGGCC
rnacentral:rRNA from 1 species